UACGGGGGGGAGCAAGCGUUGUUCGGAUUUACUGGGCGUAAAGGGCGCGUAGGCGGCCAGCGCAAGUCAGUUGUGAAAUCUCCGGGCUUAACUCGGAAAGGUCAACUGAUACUGCGCGGCUAGAGUGCAGAAGGGGCAACUGGAAUUCUCGGUGUAGCGGUGAAAUGCGUAGAUAUCGAGAGGAACACCUGCGGCGAAGGCGGGUUGCUGGGCUGACACUGACGCUGAGAAGCGAAAGCAUGGGGGAGCGAACAGG
rnacentral:rRNA from 1 species